rnacentral:rRNA from 1 species
GAUGAACGCUGGCGGCGUGCCUAAUACAUGCAAGUCGAACGCUGGAAAUCUAGCUUGCUAGAUUGAAGGAGUGGCGAACGGGUGAGUAAUACAUAAGCAACCUACCCACGAAGACUGGGAUAAUCUCUGGAAACGGGGACUAAUACCGGAUAGGUAAUCGGAAGGCCUCUUCUGAUUAUUAAAGGUUAAAAACACUGGUGGAUGGGCUUAUGGCGCAUUAGUUAGUUGGUGAGGUAACGGCCCACCAAGACGAUGAUGCGUAGCCGGCCUGAGAGGGUGAACGGCCACAUUGGGACUGAGACACGGCCCAGACUCCUACGGGAGGCAGCAGUAGGGAAGGUUCGGCAAUGGGGGAAACCCUAACCGAGCAACGCCGCGUGAGUGAUGACGGCCUUCGGGUUGUAAAGCUCUGUUGUAAGGGAAGAACGGUAGAUAGAGAAUAUCUAAAUGACGGUACCUUACCAGAAAGCCACGGCUAACUACGUG